UUUUGAUAUAGAAACCUCAGCUUGCUUUCUAAGAGAUGAUAUUGUAAAGCAAUAAUUGCUUACUUCUAUUAAAUUAGCAAACUGCAACCUUUUGUUUCUGUUAGAGGUUACUAGAAUGUUUUCUUUGCCCUCAGAAAAAGCACUGUGCCGUGCAGACCAAAGAGGCAGUUUCUGAGCUCCUCUCUUUCCCCCCCUGUACGUUCUAAGUGCCCAUAUCAUGCCCAGACAGGCUUAGGACACAGUUCUCACCACCUUAGUGUUCACUCUUUGGAGAUGGCAUCUUGAAGAUCUCUUUUCAGAGCACAUCAUCAUGCAAGUAUCCCUCAUCCUGAGACAUGGGAAGAGUCUUUAAUGAUGCCAGAGAGGAACAUAUGAAAGAGAAAUCUCGUCAAUUACCCACACGAGGAUGCCGAUCCCCCUCCUCCCCGCUGCAAGCAAACCAUUUGUUUAGGAGAAUUACAAAGUAAUUGUAGUUCCAAGACCAUCACUUCCACUCAUCACUAUGGGUGAGUGUGAAUCAUCAGACAUAUUUGGGAGCCUGACACCAGAAACUAAAAACUUGGACUUAAUUAUUUUCUGAUUGAAAUCAGCUUUCUGAAGAAUGAGUAGAAGAAAAUGACUUUUCUCCUCUGAGGCAACUUAAUACAACAUGGAGGCAAGGGUGGUGGGAACCAGUAUAAAUUUGGCACAAAUUCAGUUCCCAAUCCUUUAUGAGGUGCUAUCAUGUGCAGACCACAGUGAUGUGCUGGGGAUACAAAGUGAAUAAAGUAGACAGGCAGGGAACCCAUAUGCAUUCAUUAUACGGUCUUCAUAAAGUGCUUUCAGAAUUCAGAGCGGGGGCACCUGGCUUAACCUGGGUUGUCUGAGCAAGUGAGUGAACCUGAGGGAUGAUGUUAGGCAAGGGGAGGUGAGAUACUAUGUCCAAGUCUUUAAGAAGAAUUAAGAGUUAAGACGCAGACAGAAGGAGAGUGAUUCUAAACAGAGAGAAAAGCAUCUCAAAGUGAGCAAAAUCAGAGCAGCUCCAAGGGACUGGGCUAGAAAAUGCAAAGUUGGAGAGGAUGUAGGAAGGUGAUGUCAUCAGAGGCACCAAACUUUCUGAAGAAACAAAUAUGGCAGCGAUGUGUGAGGUCUCAGUCUGCUCGGAGAUGCGUACAACAAUUCUUCUGACAAUAAACGUACUCAUAAGGG
ensembl:lncRNA